GUCUCCCUUUCUCUGUCAGGAAGCUCUCUCUCUCUUUCUUUCUUUUUCUUCAAGAUUUUCCGCAUUUUAUGUUCUCUAGGGUUUAAUAUUGGAGAAUUUGACUUCAUGAUUGGUAUUUAACAAUGUCUUUGUGAUUUUUUUUACCAAGAUUCUCAAUGUCUUUGUGAUUUAUCUUCAAGAUUCUACGAUGUCUUUUUUUAUAGCGAAGAAUAUAUCGUACCUAUAGUCAUCGAUGGAUGUUUUGGUCACUAUUUUUAGGCUUUUCUAUAGGGUUGUAACUGUUUGUGGAAUCUUUAAUGGUGAAGUACUUGAUUUAGAUCAAAUAAAUUUUUGGGUUCUUCAAGUAAGCUUUCUCUUCUUUCUUUUUUUGAUGGAUUUUCGUACUGCUAUUUCAAGAUUUUCUUAUCCCUGCUGUAUUGUAAUUGUGUCUUGGGCUCUUUAGGGCUUUAGGUUGGAGAAUUUGACUGUAUUGGAAUUGAACAAUGUAAUUGAUGUUGUUGUGCUGUAGUGGUUUAUUAUUUUCAGAAUUUACAAUGUCUGUGUGAAUUUUUUCCAAGAUUCUACAAUGACUUCUCUUUACUGAACUAUAUGGUACAUAUAGUUGUCUGAUGGAUGUUUUAGUAGCUCCAGUGAUUACAGUUUAGUACCUUUGCUAUAUCUUGGAUGUUUUUGCUUCUUCUCGAUUUUUUGAAGAUGAUGAACUUUACCUUUUCCUGUUGAGAUGCAGAACAGAGAAUCUUAAUAAUCAGUUUACUGUACUCAGUGUCACUUCUGGCGUCUUGCAUGUUGUUGGUGAUUCAUUAUUUCCCGAUAUUUUUGAUAAAAACUACCUGGAGGGUGCCAUAGUUCUCCAACAAAUUGAUAAGAAGUUAUUCCGAUUGUGGCGAGCACAACAGAUGAUAUAACUGAUCAGGUCUAUUUUGUCCUUUCCAUAAUCGGCCAUUUUCGGUUUCUCACGAAAUUCCUUAUAAUGCAUUUACUUUACUUUUCGGUUUCUCAUGAAAUUCCUUAUAAUGCAUUUACUUUAAACGAUUGUUUCUCUUAGGAAUAGUUUCGUUGGACUCAUUAGCAAAUAUACAUCUCAGCAUAAACUUCCGCAUAAAUUGUGUAACAUUUUUUGGCUGCAUAAGAAAAAGUAAUAUCCGCAUAACUAUGUACCACACAGUUGUCAACAUAUAAGAAAAAACAAGCUCAACAUGACUAAUGCAACAGUUUGUUGACGGUAUUUACUGUUCAUUAUUAAUAUCCUCAUGACUUAUGAUUUUAUGAUUUUGUUAUGUAUUUAAUGGAGAGAUGCGGAGAAAAUUCCAUUUCUAGGUGUUUCUUCUUUGUCUCAUAAGGCUACUGGUGCUUGCAGUCAUGAAAGCUUCCUAAGCUUUUGAGCUGAUUCGUGUUUUGACUUGCAGUCAUGAAAUCCUUUUCGUUGUAUUUCACAUGCACUCCCUCUUUUCUUAUUCUUAGUACUCAAUCUGCUCUGUUUUAUAGACAAUGAAUAUUUGGAGGUUUUCAUCCGUCAAUGUCCAAUAAAAAAUGUUGCCUGUCGAGGCAAAGAAUUGUUGCUUGGAAUGGCACUUCAGGUGGGUUAAUGAUAUUUUGGGGAAAAUUCCGUAUUUUGGUCUUUCUUCUCCAUCGCAAAGGUUAAUUUUUUUCGUAACUAAAUAACCCUUUUGGUAAAAUUACACGACCUUCUACAGUCCUACUCUUGUUGUUCUUAAUUAUUAGAUUUUGAUAUUUGCUACAUCAAUCGUUUUGGAGCCUUGCUAUCUGUAGGAGACUGUUACAUCCAGCUAUAUACUAAUUUUUUGAUUUCUGACAAAGUAUUUUUUGAAAUAAUAUGGUUCUUUGUUGUUUCUCUCUGAUUUCUUGAAAUUCCUAAUAGAUAUUUAUUGCAUGCAUUGGUAAUGCUUGUUAAUAAGUCUGUUAUAUUUUUAUCACUGCACCACGUGAAGAAUAAUUUCCAUGGUAUGUAUAUUUGUCCCGUAAGUAUCAAUUUUGAGUUGUACUAGCCCCAGGGCUUUGGUCAGUGACGAGGACUCAAAAUGGGAUUGUGAUAGGGAACAUGUCAUAAGUUCUUUAUUUGAUGAAGCAAGUAGAUUCAUUUAUAGGCAUCAAGAAUAUGGAAGCUUUACAAUGAUAGAUCACUUAAGCUCACAAAAAUAUGGAUUUUUAGCUUCUUCCUAAACAGUAGAGCUAACAGAAUCCAAAAAGAGUUCUAAAUUACUUAUAGGGGUCAAUUUGGACCAGCUAAAAAGGCUAACUAGACAUCUACCUCGCAAAAGAUUUCUAGAAGUUGAAAUUCCAUCAGAACGUCUUUUGUUCCUCUGUCCAUUAACACAAAAAAAUAGCACAAGGGAUCAUCAUCAAGAUACUCUUGAUGGCUUUGUCAACUCCUGUGAACUCCAACUUUCAAGAGCUUCCCUAUCUUUGAAAGGCGUGACCCAGGAAAGACCAAAAAACAACAAAACAUGUUCCAGAGGUCUGAGACAAUCGGGCAGUGCAAUGGGAAGUGGUUGACACCUUUUGUGUUCUUGUGGCAGAAGUAGCAUCGGCUGGAAAGAUGAAAUUUCUUACUGGAGAGAUUGUCCUGUGAGGCAUGAGUUGUGCAGUACAGUCCAGCUUAAACAGAUCACUUUGGUCAAGUGUGAAAGGAAACUUGUUAACAUCUGGAAUAGCAAAUUACAAGCUCAAGGGGAGUGCACAUGUUCACACGAUGGGAGUUAGAAGGAGAACAAUGCUGGACAGUAUACUGUAUUCAGUGUCACUUCUGGCGUCUUGUAUUUUGUUGGCAAUUCAUUGGUUUCUGGCACUAUUGAUCAAAACUGCCUGGAGGGGGUGCCAAAUUUCUCUAACAGGUUGAUAAGAAGUUUAUUCCGAUUGUGGUGAGCAGCCAGCACAACACCUGAUAUAAUUGAUCAGUCAUCGUCAUGUUCUUCAGCAUGCUUCAGAUGAGCGAAUUCGUUUGGAAGAACUAACGACUGUCUAAAAAUUCAUUGAAAUGUCACUUCAACUUGGAGGCUGCACUUCAUUGAAUUAUCAGGUCCUAUCUGACCUAUCUUGAUUCUGAGCAAGAAUUAUUACGCUUAUUUUAAUAAUAGGUCAUGCCUGAAGUUAUUUACCAAUUACCACACAACUAUGCUGACCAAAUUCAAAACCGGGGUUGGAUUUGCAACAAUCAUUCUCAAGCUUCAAGAUCACUUAUCAGUUAAUUGGUUGCAUAUAUGAAGAGUUUGGCAUAUGGAUCAAAACAUGAUGACGGAUCUCUUUGCAAAGGAAGAUGGUACUAGGAAAAAAAAUUAAGCAUAAUUAGAGAUUAUUUUUUCACUUUAAAAUUUAUUAGCAACUUAAUUGCGUUUGCUAGAGUUUUUAAAGUUUUAAUUUAUGUAAAUAAUUUAGCUAAAUGUAUUAUAUUGUCAAUACUAAUCAUUUGAUCCUUUAGUAUUCUA